AGUAAUGCGUCGGAACGUGCCGAGUAAUGGGGGAUAACGCAGCGAAAGUUGUGCUAAUACCGCAUACGCCCUGAGGGGGAAAGUGGGGGAUCGCAAGACCUCACGUUAUUCGAGCGGCCGACGUCUGAUUAGCUAGUUGGUGGGGUAAAGGCCUACCAAGGCGACGAUCAGUAGCGGGUCUGAGAGGAUGAUCCGCCACACUGGGACUGAGACACGGACCAGACUCCUACGGGAGGCAGCAGUGGGGAAUUUUGGACAAUGGGGGCAACCCUGAUCCAGCCAUUCCGCGUGAGUGAAGAAGGCCUUCGGGUUGUAAAGCUCUUUCAGCUGGAGUGAAACGGUGCGCUCUAACAUAGCGCGCUAAUGACGGUACCAGCAGAAGAAGCACCGGCUAACUACGUGCCAGCAGCCGCGGUAAUACGUAGGGUGCGAGCGUUAAUCGGAAUUACUGGGCGUAAAGCGUGCGCAGGCGGAUUGUUAAGCAAGAUGUGAAAUCCCCGGGCUUAACCUGGGAAUGGCAUUUUGAACUGGCAAUCUAGAGUGCGUCAGAGGGGGGUGGAAUUCCACGUGUAGCAGUGAAAUGCGUAGAGAUGUGGAGGAACACCGAUGGCGAAGGCAGCCCCCUGGGAUGACACUGACGCUCAUGUACGAAAGCGUGGGUAGCAAACAGGAUUUAGAUACCCUGGUAGUCCACGCCCUAAACGAUGUCAACUGGUUGUUGGGGGAGUGAAAUCCCUUAGUAACGAAGCUAACGCGUGAAGUUGACCGCCUGGGGAGU
rnacentral:rRNA from 1 species